CAACAGCUAGAGUUUGAUCCUGGCUCAGAACAAACGCUGGCGGCGUGUCUUAAGCAUGCAAGUUGAGCGGCAAGGAGGAGAGAUCCUCCCUAGAGCGGCGGACUGGUGAGUAACGCGUGGGUAAUCUAUCUUAGGCAUGGGGAUAGUCACUAGAAAUAGUGGGUAAUACCGAAUAAGUUCCAUAAGGGGAGGACUUAUGGAAGAAAGGUGCUACGGCACUGGCCUUAGGUGAGCUCGCGUCCCAUUAGCUAGUUGGUGAGGUAAAGGCCCACCAAGGCGAUGAUGGGUAGCCGGCCUGAGAGGGUGUACGGCCACACUGGGACUGAGAUACGGCCCAGACUCCUACGGGAGGCAGCAGCUAAGAAUAUUCCGCAAUGGACGGAAGUCUGACGGAGCGACGCCGCGUGGAUGAAGAAGGCCGAAAGGUUGUAAAGUCCUGUCAGGAGGGACGAAGUGGCUUCGGCCAUGACGGUACCUCGGUAGGAAGCUCCGGCUAAACUACGUGCC
rnacentral:rRNA from 1 species